GGGCAUCUGUCUCCUUUCGGGGGUUUCUGUCUCCUGGGAAGAGUGUCCCCUCGGGGCCCGACCGCGCUCCGCCUCGUCUCUCUUGUUCGGUUCGAAUCGUGGAGGAAGCGCUAGACUUCCCGGGAAGCGCCGAGGCGGCCUGAGGGGAAGAAAAGAGCGAAGAUGAACCGCCUGUGGCCGCUUGAGUCACCAGAUCGACUUCCUGUUCGAGUGCUCUGGAAUCUCGAGCCUCUCGCCCUUCGUCCUCUCCGGUUCUUCCGCCUUCGUCACCCUCCGUCUUCGCCUGCAAAGGGUCGGCAGCCUCCGAAGCCUCUGUCGUUUUGUUCGCCUCUCGGCUCUUCCAGGGAGAGCUUCCCAGCUUCCCUGCAAGAGACGGGGAAGACGAGAAGGCGAACUUUGUCGGCCGAGCUGGACUCGCAGGCCGGUCACCGGCUGGGCCUGCAGAGACACUCCAGAGGUGCGGCGGCGCUUGUCUUUUCUCGGUUUUUCCUCUGAGGCCGCCAGGAGGGGGGAGGACUGUGGGCGCUGGAACGAGUUGGUCUUCUCGCGAAGGCCUUCUUCGUUUAUCCAUCUCUCCACGGUUGCUUUUGCCGAGUGGCCACGUCACGUCUUCCUCGCUUUUCGGCACUUCGGCUUCGUUUCGUUCCGCUUCAUUGGCAAAGCCGAGAAAAGGCGAGGGCAGCACCUCGUCGCCGUUCACCCGCGAGUUGUGCGCGUUUUGAAGCUUCUCCCACAACGCCACGACCAAGUCUACGAGAGAGUGGGGCAGAAAGCGAGGGAAAGAACGAUGGAGAGGGAAAGAACGAUGGAGAGGGAAAAAACGAUGGAGAGGGACAGAGAGGAGCAGGAGACACGUCGCAAAACAUGCAGAAAGGGACAGGCUUAGUCCCGCAUCAUCUGCCGCUCUCGCGUUUCUUUUCCUUUCGAGAGUCAACUUGUCUCUAUCUACCGUUGGGUGUGCGCUCGAUGCUGUAGAAAAGGCCUCUUUCGUGCGUUGGGGGGAGCGUGUACGUGUGUGUUUUUCUGCGUGCGAGGGAAAGGCAAGCCUUCGCACUUCCCAGGCAUAGAAACCAAACGCUCGUCGGCCGAGACCGUCUCUCUCCCGCUUUAACUGGGGUUGCUUGCUAGUUUCGAAUACUUGGCGUUAAGGAGCAGAAUCCGUGCCUUCUCUCUAGAACCCACGGGAGAAUAUCCGCUGUCGCGUGCCUCCCCACACUUUUCCUCUGUGACUGGAGUGAACAGGGGGGUUUCUGCAUCCCAGAGCUACUGGGUCUCCGGGCAG
rnacentral:lncRNA from 1 species